rnacentral:rRNA from 1 species
UACGGAGGGUGCAAGCGUUAUCCGGAAUUACUGGGUUUAAAGGGUGCGUAGGCGGCUUGAUAAGUCAGAGGUGAAAGCCUAUCGCUUAACGAUAGAAUUGCCUUUGAUACUGUAAAGCUUGAAAGGGGUUGAGGUCAGCAGAAUGUGGCAUGUAGCGGUGAAAUGCAUAGAUAUGCCAUAGAACACCGAUUGCGAAGGCAGCUGGCUGGGCCUACCUUGACGCUGAGUCACGAAAGCGUGGGGAGCGAACAGG